rnacentral:rRNA from 1 species
ACUAGCUGUUGGGAGUCCACUUCUUAGUAGCGAAGCUAACGCGUUAAGUUCUCCGCCUGGGGAGUACGGCCGCAAGGUUAAAACUCAAAGAAAUUGACGGGGGCCCGCACAAGCGGUGGAGCAUGUGGUUUAAUUCGAUGCAACGCGAAAAACCUUACCUACCCUUGACAUCCUCGGAACUUGUCAGAGAUGACUUGGUGCCUUCGGGAACCGAGUGACAGGUGCUGCAUGGCUGUCGUCAGCUCGUGUCGUGAGAUGUUGGGUUAAGUCCCGUAACGAGCGCAACCCUCGUCCUUAGUUGCCAGCGAGUCAUGUCGGGAACUCUAAGGAGACUGCCGGUGAUAAACCGGAGGAAGGUGGGGAUGAUGUCAAGUCAUCAUGGCCCUUAUGGGUAGGGCUACACACGUGCUACAAUGGGCAGUACAAAGGGUUGCCAAGCCGCAAGGUGGAGCUAAUCCCAGAAAACUGCUCUUAGUCCGGAUUGGAGUCUGCAACUCGACUCCAUGAAGUUGGAAUCGAA